ACUUCCUGCAAAGAUGUUUAAAUUGUAGAAAUCAUUAGGCUUACAGUUUCUUUGGCAUCCUCAGCUGCAUUUGGCAGCUUCAUUAAUUGUUCAAGUUGAGGAAGAGGGAUGCAUGGAUGCCCUCCUAGGCUUCAGUGCCAUAGAUAGAGGUUUUACAGACCCCAAAUACAGAGGGAAUUUCUUUGGAAGGUUAUACUGCUGCUGAUGGGCAAGGAACAUAAGUUUCUAUUGCAGUGCAGGUAAGGGGAUGAUUUCCCACUUAGGGUUCUUUGAAUUACAUAAGUGGUAAAGAAAAGGAAAAUUGAAUACAUUGUGCUGAUCUACGAAUGCAAAAUUUUCUAGGGAACUUUUAAUUCAAGGAUCAGAAUUUCUUUAAGGACUACCCAUUGAAAGAUGAAAAAAUAACCUGCUAUAGUUGGCCUAGGAACUCAGGCUGAAAGCUGCAUUCACAUCUUGUACCCUUCCCUCAGACAGCUGACAUGGAGCUAAAAAGAAGGGGCCUUUAGCUGUGCAGGACAAAGAGCAUCUCCAGAGUGCCUGGUGCUGAGAUGGAAGACCCGAUUAUUUAUCCACACUGAAGAGAUGGGUGGAUUGGCAGAAAAACAAAGUUAUAUUAGAAAAUUUUUUUGGGUUUUAAAUAUUUUAAAUCAGUAAUUUUUAUUUUUUUUUCACAGAUGGAUCUUGAUCUCUUUCACCAAACCACUUUGCCAGGGACUCUGCAAAUGUAACUUUUGUGUUAAUAAAUAUUAAAGGCACUUCCAAAGUACAUCAGGAGAAAUCAUUCUCUAUGAACCACCACCAAAAUUGUUAGAAUUGGCUAUAUAACUCUGUAUGAGAACCAGAUGCAAAAUUUUGGUAUUGAUCAAGUCACGCACUUUCUUUAUGCAGAGGAAAAAAAUUCCGUAGUGUACACACCAGGAAAGGCGUUAUGUCCGGGGAUGAGCAGAAGUCUGAGGAUAAAUAUAUCUUUUAAGCUGUGAUUGCAGCUGUCUUAAGUUUCAAAGUAGGUAGUUCCAAAGUCUUAGGGAAAUACAUAAGCUUUGAUGAUGCCCUAAUGAGCUAACAGACACAUGCACUGGCUUAUGAGUAGGAAGUAACAGUGUCUGUCCCAAAGGAUCUGUCAGCCAUUUUGCUUAGUAUCAAAUGCUGGAGUUUAUUUUGGUGACAGAUUUGUGGUGCCUUUGUAGUACACCACACUGUGGGAUAUGUUACUGGUGGUAAUACCCUAACUGGAAAACUCCUGCAGGCACAUACAGGACUAAUGCACUCUCCAAUGUCUUUAACAGGAUGGUGGUCCUCCUGAAAGAUGCUGUGUCUCCUUCUUGCAAAGGGAAACAAUACAGUUGGAGAUGCUUUGGUCUGAAAAUAGAAUAAAAAAAAAUCUUUGAAUAGUUUGGGGCA
rnacentral:lncRNA from 1 species